UACGAAGGGGGCUAGCGUUGCUCGGAAUCACUGGGCGUAAAGGGUGCGUAGGCGGGUUUUUAAGUCAGAGGUGAAAUCCUGGAGCUCAACUCCAGAACUGCCUUUGAUACUGAGAAUCUUGAGUACGGGAGAGGUGAGUGGAACCGCGAGUGUAGAGGUGAAAUUCGUAGAUAUUCGCAAGAACACCAGUGGCGAAGGCGGCUCACUGGCCCGUAACUGACGCUGAGGCACGAAAGCGUGGGGAGCAAACAGG
rnacentral:rRNA from 1 species